AAUUGCUAGUAAUGGCAGGUCAGCAUACUGCCGUGAAUACGUUCCCGGGCCUUGUACACACCGCCCGUCACACCAUGGGAGUCGGUAACACCCGAAGUCAGUAGUCUAACCGCAAGGAGGACGCUGCCGAAGGUGGGAUUGACGACUGGGGUGAAGUCGUAACAAGGUAUC
rnacentral:rRNA from 1 species